rnacentral:lncRNA from 1 species
UCUGUCCGCUCUUUCUACUGCGCUAACGCAUGUAACUCAUAAACAGUAUGUUUUUCAACAACAAUGUUGUUUAGAUUUUCUUGAUAUAUCUUGGAGAAAAUUAUUAGAAUUAAAAGAAAUAUCAUACAUUCCCCUCAAAAAGAGAAAGUUCUAAUGUGAUAAAAAAAUGUAAGAUAGAUAAUACAUGCACUUGUCUAACAUGAAGUUAUUUACGAUUUACUUAGUUUUGUGAUGCAUACUCAUCUAUAUAAGAAAUAUGAAUAUGCAUGAAACAUGAGUGAAAUUUAUGCGAGUGGGUUUCACGAAGACAAUAAAUCUUUCCUACCGCUAACACAAUUUAUAAAAACCUUUAUUGAUUAGAGUUUAAUCUUUUUGCAUUUGUCUAAUAUUCACCCAUUCACCAUCUCUCCUAUUAAAAGAAAGCUCCCUCUUUACCCAAUCUACCUCUCUCUUAUUGCAUUUGUCUAAUCAUUUUUAUCCCUACUAUUGAGUUUCCGCUUUAGUACACUUUAAUCAAAGCCACACAAAAUUUGAAAAAAAGUUAUUUUGGUGGUUUUUUUUAUGUCGUGAAUUCAGUUUAGCAAUUUUGUAAAAAAAAUAUUUUUAGUGUUUGUAAUUUAAAAAGGAAAAGUAAGCCCUCCUCUCAUAAAUCUUCCAUCUAAACACACCAUUCUUUCUAAAAAAAAAAACAUUUCUAAAAUACAUAAUAUGUUGAAUCACAAUCAAUAUUUCUCACCAACAAAUAAAUUUUUUGAAAGAUUCUUACACACAAAAAUAAAGCCUCCCAACAAUACCAAUGAAAAUUCACUAUAUGUAAGCUUUCCUCAAAGGCAACUAAAAAGUAGAAGAGGAAAAAAAAAGCAGAAUAUAUAUUUUUAAAUCAAGUGCCAAAGUUAUAACAAUCAUAAAUCAAUAGCUUGAUUAAAGAAACAAACAAUAGAUACCUAAG